GAUGAACGCUAGCGGCAGGCCUAAUACAUGCAAGUCGAACGGUGUCUUCGGACAUAGUGGCGCACGGGUGCGUAACACGUAUGCAACCUACCUUACAUUGGGGGAUAGCCUUACGAAAGGGAGAUUAAUACCGCAUAAGACAGUAGCUGGGCAUCCAGCAGCUGUUAAAGAUUUAUCGAUGUAAGCUGGGCAUGCGUCCAAUUAGCUAGUUGGUGAGGUAACGGCUCACCAAGGCAAUGAUUGGUAGGGGAACUGAGAGGUCAAUCCCCCACACUGGAACUGAGAUACGGGCCAGACUCCUACGGGGGGCAGCAGUAGGGAAUAUUGGGCAAUGGACGCAAGUCUGACCCAGCCAUGCCGCGUGCAGGAUGAAGGCGUUAUGCGUUGUAAACUGCUUUUAUACAGGAAGAAACGACUCUUGCGAGAGGCAUUGACGGUACUGUAUGAAUAAGCACCGGCUAACUCCGUGCCAGCCGCCGCCGUAACAC
rnacentral:rRNA from 1 species